GGUAAAUCAGGGUGUUUUGGGGUAGAUCAGGGUUAUUGUGAGGUAACUCAGUGUGUUUGGGGGUAGAUCAGGGUUAUUGUGAGGUAACUCAGGGUGUUUUGGGGUAGAUCAGGGUUAUUGUGAGGUAAAUCAUGGUGUUUUGGCAUAAAUCAGGGUUAUUGUGAGGUAACUCAGGGUGUUUUGGGGAAGAUCUGGGUUAAUGUGAGGUAAAUCAGGGUGUUUUGGAGUAGAUCAGGGUUAUUGUGAGGUAAAUCAGGGUGUUUUGGGGUAUAUCAGGGUU